AGAUUAAACAACAUCCCAAGAUACAGCUGAAAUGAGCAAAAAGUUUUGACAAGCUGAAAUCAGCUCAAGUGAAGACAAACCAUACAAGUCCCGAGACCCUGAGCUGUCAGUUUGACUUAAUGUCAGGAGAUUGCCAAAGUUUCAGCAUCAGCAUCUGUGCUCACCAGCUUCAACAAGAUUUAGAAGAAAGAAAAGAAAGAAAAAAGCAGUUUAUAUUUUGUAAAUUACCUGUGCUCAUGUGCAGCUUACAUACAGGGGCGUUGAUGUAUGCAAUAGGGUUACUUUUAAGCAGAGCUGCAGCUUGAGGUGUGUUUCCCGACUUGGAGACCUGGUUUUGGGCCCAAAAUUUCUGAAUGCUUCAGUACUUAUCCUUCGUGUCUUGUACAGCACCAAACCCCUGAUUAAUGUGGUAUCCAAAGAAUGAAAAUGCCUCCUCCCCCCAGCUUUUACUACUUUAAUAGCCAUUUACUAUUGUUUUAAAUAAUAUUUUUAUCAGCAGAGAUCAGCAAAAUUCCCAUGAUACAGGGCCCCUUUAAUAUUGAUCCAUAACCAACUUCUGUAAGAGUGUUUUUACCAGAACUUCCAAAUUUCUUGAGGUUUAGAUUGUUUUAUUAGCAGUCAAACAUUUUUUAUUUGUACUAUUUAUUAUGUCAAACAGACAGAGAAAUGUUUUAACAUCCAGCUGUGCUUCAAUUCAUUCUUGAUUUGAUUAAGGGGGUCUGUUGCAUUUUGUUAAUAUAGAACCAUUAGCUAAGAACUUUUUUAAAAAGUGCUCUUCAGGUAGUCUAAUCCACUAAAUUCAGAUAGUCUUUAUAAAAGAGCUGCAUUUUAUUCCUUUUGCAUGAUAUUCCACCACAAAUUAAGAUGAAAUCUGUUGAUCUGCAGCUCCUUUUCUUAAUAUUUCUUUACGUUUGUAAAACAUCGACUCCUUAUUAUUUUUAUUUACAUGAAUGACAUUUAUAUUCAUUUUAACUAGUGAGGACUUAACAUCAUCCAGUGCAAAAAUAUAAUGAAAAAAUGUAUUCUUGUCCACCAGGUCAUUUUGCUUUGAAUUUCAGGGUCAUUUGCUUUAAAUAUUAUUAUAUGAGUCACCUCCAUUUACGCUGAUAAUAAAAUGUUUUCUGGUGUUCUCAGACUCAAAAAUUUAUGAAAAUAAAAAAACCUGAUGCAGACACAAAAACACAAGUUUGUGAAAUUGGAACAUCCUGUACCAUUAUUUGAGAUAAAGUUCCUAGUUAAAAUUAAAAAUAUUGCUGAAUUAUUUCCUGAGGAAGUUAUUUUGGUAUUUUACAGUUAACUACACAUGAAUAAAACUGAUGCCUAUGAACAGCAAUAUUUUAAGUAUUUUAAAAUGCUCCAACUUUAAAUAAAUUGAUGACCAGUGAGAUCAUCCCUAGACAUUCAAUAGCAAUGGUGUUACUGGAGUGUCACUGAGACAGUAAUAAUGAUGUCAUCAUACUAGCAAGCAAACUGUAUUCUGUAUGACUCACUGCAGCUUUUUUAUAGUAGUCUUAGCUUCAGAAAUGAGUAUGUGAGAUGACUGAUUUGGUGGAUGAGCACAGAAAAUGGAGAGACAGAAAUAUUUUUAAAAAUCCAUGUAAUUUCUAAUUUUAUUUUUUUGUAAGUUUCAAGAUGCUGCCUGAAAUCCAGACUUGGAACAAACUGAACAGGUAACAGUAAUUUUUCUUGUUCAACUCUUCUGUGGAAGUAAGUUUUAAAUCAUGUUAAUGAAUGGCAGAGUUUAACUCAAGAACCUGACAACAAAGGGAAUCUGGUAAAUGAGUUGCUUAAGAAGGAUUUAUAUGUUUAUAAAAAAUAUGUUUAUAAAUAUGUUUAUAUGUUGUAAUAAGUACUUCCCAGCUUUCAUAUUCUAAUUACUUUAGACUGCUGCUUGAAAGCAGUUGGUCAUUAUUACAUUGAGACAUGGUUUUGGUUUGUUUUCUUUCUGGUGCCAUCUCUUCCAACUCUACAGGAAUAGAUAUACAUAUAUAUACACAUUAUAUAUGCAUGAAACAUUUCCCUUUAAUUUAGAGAUAUAUAUAUUAUAUAUGUAUGAAAUAUGUAUUUUAAUUUUUUGGUUACAAUCAUCAUGCAAAUUAUUGUGCUUAUUGCAUGACCCAGUUCACUGAACUGGAAAGAGAAGUGAUUUUGUCAUUUGGAGUUGCUCUUGGUUUAUUACCUCACCAUGCAGAGUGUGCACAAGCACUGUGUGUGGCUUUAUGGAGUGGGAAAAGAGUGAACAAGACAGACUAUUUGGGUAACAGCAGAAUUUGAAGAAUGUACACAGGCCUGUCCUCCUUUGCCCCGGGUCAAUCUUGAAUGCUUUCGACAGUAAUGCAGAAAAGGCCUGGGUGUGCAGCUCUGAUUAUGUGGCUCAAAACACUGCUUUUAUUUAUUUUAAUCCCAUGUGUUAGCCUAAAUGCCUUAUGGAGGCUACCAGAUCACUGCAGCUGCAUUGAAUUCAUCAUGCAACUCUUCUGCUACAGGGAGAGCUGACAGAUAAGAUUUCCCCCCCGUUUUCUCCCACAGAAACUCUGAACAAUAAUCUUGUACUUGCCUAGCUAAUAGUGUGUGAUUUUUCCCAGACACUUAAGCUGCUAUAAAUCAAGUAAGUACAUGUGUGUCAGAGGAAGACAUAACCCUUUAUUUAUGAAUGUGUUAGAAGAACUGUCAGAAAGGGAUAUUGAUUCUGGUUUUGUACAGGGAACUAGUGAGAACAACCAAUCAAUGGAACACAGGGAGAACUUAACAUUGUUAUGAAAUAUUUAGGUUGUAGGGAAGUAUAAAAAUUAGGCAAAUUUCCAAUGGACAACAGCAGCAUAACUUUUUUUGCUAAAGAGAAGAUGAAAAGCAGAGAUUGGUGAUUAAAAAAAUGUAAAAUGAAAGAAUAGCAGAAACAAAUAUAUCAUGAAGACUGUUACAUAAAGGCUCUGUACAUUGAUACAUUUUAAUUAGAAUGUUUUGACUAAGAGAGCACAAUUCUGAGCAUCUGUUUACCAAAAUGUCUACUAUCGUAUGCAAACCUGGAUUUUGUUUUGCUCAAGGUGCCCUGAAUUGAGAGAAAUUAAUAAACAAUUACAAAAAUACUUAA